GACGAACGCUGGCGGCGUGCUUAACACAUGCAAGUCGAACGGAAAGGCCCUUCGGGGUACUCGAGUGGCGAACGGGUGAGUAACACGUGGGUGAUCUGCCCUGCACUUUGGGAUAAGCCUGGGAAACUGGGUCUAAUACCGAAUAGGACCACGCGCUUCAUGGUGUGUGGUGGAAAGCUUUUGCGGUGUGGGAUGGGCCCGCGGCCUAUCAGCUUGUUGGUGGGGUAAUGGCCUACCAAGGCGACGACGGGUAGCCGGCCUGAGAGGGUGACCGGCCACACUGGGACUGAGAUACGGCCCAGACUCCUACGGGAGGCAGCAGUGGGGAAUAUUGCACAAUGGGCGCAAGCCUGAUGCAGCGACGCCGCGUGAGGGAUGACGGCCUUCGGGUUGUAAACCUCUUUCAAUAGGGACGAAGCGCAAGUGACGGUACCUAUAGAAGAAGCACCGGCCAACUACGUGCCAGCAGCCGCCGCAG
rnacentral:rRNA from 1 species